UUGGGAACGCGAGCGGCGGAUGGGUGAGUAACACGUGGGGAACCUGCCCCAUAGUCUGGGAUACCACUUGGAAACAGGUGCUAAUACCGGAUAAGAAAGCAGAUCGCAUGAUCAGCUUAUAAAAGGCGGCGUAAGCUGUCGCUAUGGGAUGGCCCCGCGGUGCAUUAGCUAGUUGGUAGGGUAACGGCCUACCAAGGCAAUGAUGCAUAGCCGAGUUGAGAGACUGAUCGGCCACAUUGGGACUGAGACACGGCCCAAACUCC
rnacentral:rRNA from 1 species